AUGGACGAAAGUCUGACCGAGCAACGCCGCGUGAGUGAAGAAGGUUUUCGGACCGUAAAGCUCUGUUGUAAGUCAAGAACGUGUGUGAGAGUGGAAAGUUCACACAGUGACGGUAGCUUACCAGAAAGGGACGGCUAACUACGUGCCAGCAGCCGCGGUAAUACGUAGGUCCCGAGCGUUGUCCGGAUUUAUUGGGCGUAAAGGGAGCGCAGGCGGUCAGGAAAGUCUGGAGUAAAAGGCUAUGGCUCAACCAUAGUGUGCUCUGGAAACUGUCUGACUUGAGUGCAGAAGGGGAGAGUGGAAUUCCAUGUGUAGCGGUGAAAUGCGUAGAUAUAUGGAGGAACACCAGUGGCGAAAGCGGCUCUCUGGUCUGUCACUGACGCUGAGGCUCGAAAGCGUGGGUAGCGAACAGGAUUAGAUACCCUGGUAGUCCACGCCGUAAACGAUGAGUGCUAGGUGUUAGGCCCUUUCCGGGGCUUAGUGCCGGAGCUAACGCAAUAAGCACUCCGCCUGGGGAGUACGACCGCAAGGUUGAAACUCAAAGGAAUUGACGGGGGCCCGCACAAGCGGUGGAGCAUGUGGUUUAAUUCGAAGCAACGCGAAGAACCUUACCAGGUCUGGACAUCCCGAUGCUAUUCUUAGAGAUAGGAAGUUACUUCGGUACAUCGGAGACAGGUGGUGCAUGG
rnacentral:rRNA from 1 species